rnacentral:rRNA from 1 species
CAGUAGCCACGGUAAUACAGAGGGUGCGAGCGUUAAUCGGAUUUACUGGGCGUAAAGCGUGCGUAGGCGGCUUUUUAAGUCGGAUGUGAAAUCCCUGAGCUUAACUUAGGAAUUGCAUUCGAUACUGGGAAGCUAGAGUAUGGGAGAGGAUGGUAGAAUUCCAGGUGUAGCGGUGAAAUGCGUAGAGAUCUGGAGGAAUACCGGUGGCGAAGGCGGCCCCCUGGACAAAGACUGACGCUCAGGUGCGAAAGCGUGGGGAGCAAACAGGAUUAGAUACCCGAGUAGUCCCUGUCUCUUAUAC